rnacentral:tRNA from 1 species
GUAGCUCAGUGGUCUAGAGCGCUCGUUUCCGAUGCGAGAAGUCCCAGGUUCGAUCCCUGGCCA